CCAGGACUCUUACUCUGUUGGGGUCUAUAUCGAAUGUGCUAAGUGUAUCCACAGAGAAGAGAAGAGAGCGUUUUCCUGUUUGUCCUGCCUAUAUCAUGUUACUGACCAGCUACGUCACUUCCUGUCUAUUCAUACAGACCUCCAGACCUCUACCAUUAGCUAGUGGCAGUUUCUGCCAGGAUACCUCAUUUUCUGGGAUCACAUGAAAACUCCUCUCUGCCUAUCAUUCCCAGAAUCCUCCUUGUCUUCUAGUGCUACAAAUCAUCCUGCCUGGCAAAUCAGUGUUUUAUUCAUCAGCCAAUAAAACAAACAUAUACACAGAAGAACAUUCCCCAUUAUGUUCCUAUGCUCAUGUCUGGGCAGCUGGGAUUCAGAUGAAUGUAGCUCUAGUGCUGAUUUCUGGAUUAGUUGUAGUGUGAUGGAUGGUUUGAUUCCUUGGUUUCUGUUUCCUCUCUGAAUUUUCAGGGAGUGUGAUGGCUGUGUGUUGCCUGGUAUGAAGUUUUUGUGGCCCUGUUUCCCUGGCCUCCUCAGCUGGUGUGUUCCCAGGGAAUGCCUGCUGCUGGUUUUGGAAACUAAGAAAAUGGCAGGAGUUGGAGGAAGGAAGGUUGGAGAAGAAGGUCUUUGUGAUCCAUUGGAGAUGGAAUCGGGAGGAAAGGGAGAUCACAGCAGGGGUUCUGCUAUGAAGCUGGACAUGAGACUGGAGGAUUGUGUCUGGAGGAACAGAAGAAGAGAAAUCUCAGGUGUCAGCACAUCCAGAGUGCAACAGACAAGUCUUAUCCUGGGAAAACCACCUUCAUGAUCACAGUAUCACCCCUACCAGGUUAGAACACUCAAUGGACACUUCUUCUCAGCGUGCUGAUCAGUUAUGAGUUUCUGCAUCAACUGCCACCCUCUGAAAAUGCUUCCUGGAGGACAAUGAAAUGGCUCAGCAGUUGCUGUUUUCACAGAGAACUACAGGUUGGCUUCCAGCUCCUAGGUCAGGUAGCUCACAACUGCCUGUAACUCUAGCUCCUUAGGAUCUGAUGCCCUCUU
rnacentral:lncRNA from 1 species